rnacentral:rRNA from 1 species
UAUUAUAUUUAAUUUUAAUUAGUUACUGGGGUAGUAGUAGUAAGUUCUUGAAACCCAAAGAAUUUGGCGGUGUUUUAGUCUUUUCAGAGGAAUCUGUUCUGUAAUUGAUGAUACACGAUUUGUUAAACUUAAUUUUGUUAUCAGCUUAUAUACCGCCGUCGUAAGAUUAUUUUAAUUUAAAAAUUUAAUUUUCUUAUUUUUUUAAUAAAUUAUAUGUCAGGUCAAGGUGUAGUUUAUGAUUGAGUAGAAAUGGAUUACAAUAAUUAUAAUUAAUAUGGAUAAUUAUUUUAGAUUAAUUUGAAGGUGGAUUUGAUUGUAAAUUUAUUUUUGAUUUUUAUGUUGAUAAAAGCUCUAGAAUGUGUACAUAUCGCCCGUCGCUCUCAUUAGUUAAGAUGAG